ACUUAGAGAAGACAUGCUGCUUCAUGUUAAACCUUGAUAUUGUAUAUGUUUCUUGAAGGGCCACUUCUUACCCCUUUACAUGUUUUCCACAAAGUCCAGGAUGAUGCCUUACAUAAAGUUUCUCAAUGGAGCUUUGAUAGCUGUGUCUUUCAAGAAAUAUGCUACUUCUUUCCUGGUACAUGGAGUUUGGGGCUGGACCCCAUGGUCACAACACUGCUUCCAGUCUUUGCCUUCCCAUCUUUUGAUACCAG